AUUGAACGCUGGCGGCAGGCUUAACACAUGCAAGUCGAGCGGGCGAGGUUGCUUCGGUAACUGAGCUAGCGGCGGACGGGUGAGUAAUGCUUAGGAAUCUGCCUAUUAGUGGGGGACAACAUUCCGAAAGGGAUGCUAAUACCGCAUACGUCCUACGGGAGAAAGCAGGGGCUCUUUAUGACCUUGCGCUAAUAGAUGAGCCUAAGUCGGAUUAGCUAGUUGGUGGGGUAAAGGCCUACCAAGGCGACGAUCUGUAGCGGGUCUGAGAGGAUGCUCCGCCACACUGGGACUGAGACACGGCCCAGACUCCUGCGGGAGGCAGCAGUGGGGAAUAUUGGACAAUGGGGGGAACCCUGAUCCAGCCAGGCCGCGUGUGUGAAGAAGGCCUUUUGGUUGUAAAGCACUUUAAGUGGGGAGGAGGCUUACCUGGUUAAUACCUGGGCUAAGUGGACGUUACCCACAGAAUAAGCACCGGCUAACUCUGUGCCAGCCGCCGCAGUAA
rnacentral:rRNA from 1 species